GGCAGCGAGUAGAUUGCUUGCAAUCUACGUCGGCGACCGGCGCACGGGUGCGUAACGCGUAUGCAACCUACCCAUUACAGGGGGAUAACACUGAGAAAUCGGUACUAAUACCCCAUAACAUCCAGGGAGGCAUCUUCUUGGGUUGAAAACUCCGGUGGUAAUGGAUGGGCAUGCGUUGUAUUAGUUAGUUGGUGGGGUAACGGCUCACCAAGACGACGAUACAUAGGGGGACUGAGAGGUUAACCCCCCACAUUGGUACUGAGACACGGACCAGACUCCUACGGGAGGCAGCAGUGAGGAAUAUUGGUCAAUGGCCGCAGGGCUGAACCAGCCAAGUCGCGUGAGGGAUGACGGUCCUAUGGAUUGUAAACCUCUUUUGUCAGGGAGCAAAGGGCGCCACGUGUGGCGUUUUGCGAGUACCUGAAGAAAAAGCAUCGGCUAACUCCGUGCCAGCAGCCGCGGUAAUACGGAGGAUGCGAGCGUUAUCCGGAUUUAUUGGGUUUAAAGGGUGCGCAGGCGGAAUGUCAAGUCAGCGGUAAAAUUUCGGGGCUCAACCCCGUCGUGCCGUUGAAACUGGCGUUCUUGAGUGGGCGAGAAGUAUGCGGAAUGCGUGGUGUAGCGGUGAAAUGCAUAGAUAUCACGCAGAACUCCGAUUGCGAAGGCAGCAUACCGGCGCCCAACUGACGCUGAAGCACGAAAGCGUGGGUAUCGAACAGGAUUAGAUACCCUGGUAGUCCACGCAGUAAACGAUGAAUACUAGCUGUUCGGGGCAAAUGAGCCUUGAGUGGCACAGCGAAAGCGUUAAGUAUUCCACCU
rnacentral:rRNA from 1 species